CCUUUCCAUUCCGCUUGCACUCUGAUUCUUGUGGUGUCCCAAGAAGGCCGCGGAUCUCAGUUAAGCAGAGACGAGCCGAACACCUGGCACGGUCCUUCUCUACUGUUCUCUCGAAUCGUUUUCUGAGUGCAUGACUGAGCCUGGCACUGAAGGGAUACUUAUUUUGGGGAAGGAAGAACUCAAAAGUCCAGUUUUUUUCACUGUUGACCCUCAUGUGUCACAUUAGUGGCUUUCAAACUGUUUUGAUCCCAGCCUACGGUGAACAAAAAUAUUUUACAUCAAACUCAAUACCACAUACUUGUUACCUGCUUCCUGUCUGGUUGAUGAAAUGCCAAGGUGAAAGGGAUGGCCAAUUGGAUCAGAGCGCAAGUGCCACUCCAGUCGUUUGGCAGUGUACCCAAUAUUGGUCCCCCACAAUACCACCACACAUCCACUCAGGGAUGGAUAGGGCCGACUGACUGAAAAAAGUUUGAAAAAGUUUAGUGUCACUACAUCCUAUUAUGUUUCCAAGGAAUGUCAAAUUUUCCCCUUGCCAUGAGAGACAUGAGGGGAUAGAGAAGGAGAGGUCCUUGUCUCCAACAUAGAGCAUAAUCUAUCUCCUCUUGAGAAACUGGACUUUUAUCAUUGACAUAUUGGAUCAGGAGUUGGCAUAUCCAGUCCUUGUUCAACCCAAACUUUGGCCAAAAGACCAAAGGUCUGAGGAUGGGUUCCUUAGUCCAAAUAAAACAGCAAUACUUUA